rnacentral:rRNA from 1 species
CAUUUCUAGCUUGCUAGAAGAUGACGAGUGGCGGACGGGUGAGUAAUGCUUGGGAACUUGCCUUUGCGAGGGGGAUAACAGUUGGAAACGACUGCUAAUACCGCAUAAUGUCUUCGGACCAAACGGGGCUUCGGCUCCGGCGCAAAGAGAGGCCCAAGUGAGAUUAGCUAGUUGGUAAGGUAACGGCUUACCAAGGCGACGAUCUCUAGCUGUUCUGAGAGGAAGAUCAGCCACACUGGGACUGAGACACGGCCCAGACUCCUACGGGAGGCAGCAGUGGGGAAUAUUGCACAAUGGGGGGAACCCUGAUGCAGCCAUGCCGCGUGUGUGAAGAAGGCCUUCGGGUUGUAAAGCACUUUCAGUUGUGAGGAAAAGUUAGUAGUUAAUACCUGCUAGCCGUGACGUUAACAACAGAAGAAGCACCGGCUAACUCCGUGCCAGCAGCCGCGGUAAUACGGAGGGUGCGAGCGUUAAUCGGAAUUACUGGGCGUAAAGCGCACGCAGGCGGUUUGUUAAGCUAGAUGUGAAAGCCCCGGGCCCAACCUGGGAUGGUCAUUUAGAACUGGCAGACUAGAGUCUUGGAGAGGGGAGUGGAAUUCCAGGUGUAGCGGUGAAAUGCGUAGAUAUCUGGAGGAACAUCAGUGGCGAAGGC